rnacentral:tRNA from 2 species
UACAUUAUGGUGUAGUGAGCAUAUAAAUUUUUGGAGUUUAAGGAGGAAUUCAAAUUCCUUUUGUAA